CCCGCCCGCGACUGCCCGCUGCCUUGCUGGCCGCCGCUCUGCUCUCAGGAUGUCUGGUAGUUGCCGAAGAAGAAGAGCAGAUAAUACCUCCCGCAAAUUAUGUAAAGCGAGGAGCAGAGAACCUGGGACUUCGGGUGAGU